AACGCACAUUGCGCCCCUUGGUAUUCCGGGGGGCAUGCCUGUUCGAGCGUCAUUUCAACCCUCAAGCUCAGCUUGGUAUUGGGCUUUUAUCAGUAAAAUGGUAAGCCUCAAAAUCAGUGGCGGCGCCGUUGGGUCCUGAACGUAGUAAUAUAUUUCGUUACAGGUACCUCGUGUGCUUCUGCCAUUAAACCCCCAAUUUUCUAUGGUUGACCUCGGAUCAGGUAGGGAUACCCGCUGAACUUAA
rnacentral:misc_RNA from 1 species